rnacentral:rRNA from 1 species
GUUGGCGGCGUGCUUAACACAUGCAAGUCGAACGGAAAGGCCCUGCUUUUGUGGGGUGCUCGAGUGGCGAACGGGUGAGUAACACGUGAGUAACCUGCCCUUGACUUUGGGAUAACUUCAGGAAACUGGGGCUAAUACCGGAUAGGAGCUCCUGCUGCAUGGUGGGGGUUGGAAAGUUUCGGCGGUUGGGGAUGGACUCGCGGCUUAUCAGCUUGUUGGUGGGGUAGUGGCUUACCAAGGCUUUGACGGGUAGCCGGCCUGAGAGGGUGACCGGCCACAUUGGGACUGAGAUACGGCCCAGACUCCUACGGGAGGCGGCAGUGGGGAAUAUUGCACAAUGGGCGGAAGCCUGAUGCAGCAACGCCGCGUGCGGGAUGACGGCCUUCGGGUUGUAAACCGCUUUCGCCUGUGACGAAGCGUGAGUGACGGUAAUGGGUAAAGAAGCACCGGCUAACUACGUGCCAGCAGCCGCGGUGAUACGUAGGGUGCGAGCGUUGUCCGGAUUUAUUGGGCGUAAAGGGCUCGUAGGUGGUUGAUCGCGUCGGAAGUGUAAUCUUGGGGCUUAACCCUGAGCGUGCUUUCGAUACGGGUUGACUUGAGGAAGGUAGGGGAGAAUGGAAUUCCUGGUGGAGCGGUGGAAUGCGCAGAUAUCAGGAGGAACACCAGUGGCGAAGGCGGUUCUCUGGGCCUUUCCUGACGCUGGGGAGCGAAAGCGUGGGGAGCGAACAGGCUUAGAUACCCUGGUAGUCCACGCUGUAAACGGUGGGUACUAGGUGUGGGGUCCAUUCCACGGGUUCCGUGCCGUAGCUAACGCUUUAAGUACCCCGCCUGGGGAGUACGGCCGCAAGGCUAAAACUCAAAGGAAUUGACGGGGCCCCGCACAAGCGGCGGAGCAUGCGGAUUAAUUCGAUGCAACGCGUAGAACCUUACCUGGGUUUGACAUGGAUCGGGAGUGCUCAGAGAUGGGUGUGCCUCUUUUGGGGUCGGUUCACAGGUGGUGCAUGGCUGUCGUCAGCUCGUGUCGUGAGAUGUUGGGUUAAGUCCCGCAACGAGCGCAACCCUUGUUCACUGUUGCCAGCACGUUAUGGUGGGGACUCAGUGGAGACCGCCGGGGUCAACUCGGAGGAAGGUGGGGAUGACGUCAAGUCAUCACGCCCCUUAUGUCCAGGGCUUCACGCAUGCUACAAUGGCUGGUACAGAGAGUGGCGAGCCUGUGAGGGUGAGCGAAUCUCGGAAAGCCGGUCUCAGUUCGGAUUGGGGUCUGCAACUCAACCUCAUGAAGUCGGAGUCGCUAGUAAUCGCAGGUCAGCAACGCUGCGGUGAAUACGUUCCCGGGGCUUGUACACACCGCCCGUCAAGUCAUGAAAGUUGGUAACACCCGAAGCCGGUGGCCUAACCGUUGUGGGGGAGCCGUCGAAGGUGGGACUGGUGAUUAGGACUAAG